GCGUCAGUGGUGUAGCGGUUAGCAUGGGUGCUUCCCAAGCACUCGAUCCGAGUUCGACUCUCGGCUGGGGCA
rnacentral:tRNA from 1 species